GAGUUUGAUCCUGGCUCAGGAUGAACGCUGGCGGCGUGCCUAACACAUGCAGGUCGAACGAAGCACUGAGAGUUUGAGAUUUCGGUCAAGAACUUUCUUUGACUUAGUGGCGGACGGGUGAGUAACGCGUGAGCAACCUGACCUUUUGAGGGGGAUAACACCUGGAAACAAGUGCUAAUACCGCAUAAGACCACGGAGCGGCAUCGUUCAGGGGUCAAAGGAGGAAUCCGCAGAAGGAGGGGCUCGCGUCCCAUUAGAUAGUAGGCGGGGUAACGGCCCACCUAGUCGACGAUGGGUAGCCGAGCUGAGAGGCUGAUCGGCCACACUGGAACUGAGACACGGCCCAGACUCCUACGGGAGGCAGCAGUGGGGAAUAUUGCACAAUGGGGGAAACCCUGAUGCAGCGACGCCGCGUGAAGGAAGAAGUAUCUCGGUAUGUAAACUUCUAUCAGCAGGGAAGAUAGUGACGGUACCUGACUAAGAAGCCCCGGCUAACUACGUGCCAGCCGCCGCGGUAAUUC
rnacentral:rRNA from 1 species